UUUUUGGCAAAACAAAGACAAUAACAUUUAUGAGGAGACCUUUUUUCUAAAUCAUACAGAAUAUAUAUACUAAAGAGUAUUUUGAAGCUGUAUUAAUGAUCCCAUUACCCAAAUUAUAUGAUACAAUAAAAGAAUAUACCCCCAAAAGAAAACAAUGCAAAGUAAAUCAUCUUAACACCUAAUUCUUCUUUCUAAAGAUUGAUUAGAUUCACUAUUCAUGUUUUUCAUCUCUUCAUUGUCUUGUCCGUAGCAGCCGAUCACCAAUCGUUCUCAACUCGAACGUUCUCACAGCAAGGCCAACAUCACGGAUUGUAGUGUCUAGCACAUAAGGAGUGCGUGCUCGCGGCGCUGAGAGAUCGAACCAUGGUAAUGGAAGUAACGGAUUUUGCUCUCAGCCUUGUGCUAUGUCUUCCCUUGUAGAUUCUGAGACAUGUGUACGCCUAUCGCGAAUACAUUCUCCGGCUGGACCGCGUAUUUCCGAUCCCGUCUUGGAACCUUCUUGACGUCUCUAUAUGCCAGUUUCUCAAUUCCCCAUUUUCUGAAACACAAAACCAAAAUACCAUUUAGAUUAGUCCCUGAACUAAACCAAAUCAAUAACCGAUAUGUUCCCUCCUAAAAACAGAAAAUAUACAAACCAAUUACAAUUCAAUAUUUGGUACAAACAAAAGAAAUAAUCUUUACAACAUUUCUCACUAAUAUCAUGUGAUAUUCAAUAAAAGCAAAGAUCGUGACCGACAUAGGAGACUAAUACAGAAUGCACAAAGACUUUUACAAGCCAAGUGUUGACAGAAUCAGAUGCUUAUUGAUAUUAUAUGUCACCUUCAAAAAACUUGUGACUAAUAUUCUAAGUCACUCAAUAAACAACACAUGGGCUUUGGUUAACGUUCAAUCAUUAAAAUCAACAAAGUUAUGAAUGUUACCUGUAAGUUCUGGCCGGGCCAUCACCGGAAUAACAAACCCGACUACUCAUAGGCAUCAGUUCAAUAGUAAACUGAAAAUAUUCCUCCAAAGAUUCCAUCACAGACGAAAUCGUCUCUUUCACCGGAACAUGUAAAAACUCAUCAACAUCAAAGAAGAACAUCCACUUCGUCAUGAAUACCUAUGCAAACAAUCAUUCACUAUCAUGAAUUGAUUAUGAU
rnacentral:sRNA from 1 species